ACAUCCGUACGGUGAGUCUUCUUCGUAUGGCCAUGUUUGGCGUUAACGGCAUCGGCCACUUCCUGCCAGUCCUUCUGACGUAGAUUACCUCGGUUGAGCUCCAAAUAUCGCUUGCCCCAAACUUCGACAAGAGUGGAUGUAGCCUCCUCGCUCCAGCAAUCCUCACGUAUAGGCAAGGGUCUGGAGUGAGGUGUGGUGGACGGCGUAACAGAAUCGGUGAGGUCACCCAUCGCUCUGAUCUAAUGGUGGUGGUGGUGGUGGUCGUAUCGUUGGUGGUGAAUUAGGUUAUUAUCGAUUUGUGUGAUAUUGAUGUGAGAGAUAAGGUUAAAGAGUAAAGGGGAUCUCUGACCAAGAAAAAAUACAAGAAAACGGGGUCGGUGCGGCGAAGGUGACGCGCCGGACGCAUGGGCCGUAAGAGUAGGGGAAUUAAAGAGAUGGAUCGCCGGGACGUGGAUAAGCGC
rnacentral:misc_RNA from 1 species